rnacentral:rRNA from 1 species
UACAGAGGUGCCAAGCGUUAGGCGGAAUCACUGGGCUUAAAGCGCGUGUAGGCGGGUCGUUAAGUGUCCGAGUGAAAUCCCACGGCUCAACCGUGGAACUGCCGGGCAUACUGGCGAUCUUGAGGCAUUCAGGGGCGAGCGGAACAAAUGGUGGAGCGGUGAAAUGCGUAGACAUCAUUUGGAACGCCAAUGGUGAAAACAGCUCGCUGGGAAUGAUCUGACGCUGAGACGCGAAAGCCAGGGGAGCGAACGGG